UAAGCAUAUCAAUAAGCGGAGGAAAAGAAACUAACAAGGAUUCCCCUAGUAACUGCGAGUGAAGCGGGAAAAGCUCAAAUUUGAAAUCUGGCAGUCUCUGAUUGUCCGAGUUGUAAUCUAGAGAAGUGUUACCCGCGUUGGACCGUGUACAAGUCUCCUGGAAUGGAGCGUCAUAGAGGGUGAGAAUCCCGUCUUUGACACGGACUCCCAAGGCUUUGUGGUGCGCUCUCAAAGAGUCGAGUUGUUUGGGAAUGCAGCUCAAAAUGGGUGGUAAAUGCCAUCUAAAGCUAAAUACAGGCGAGAGACCGAUAGCGAACAAGUACCGUGAGGGAAAGAUGAAAAGAACUUUGGAAAGAGAGUUAAACAGUACGUGAAAUUGCUGAAAGGGAAACGCUUGAAGUCAGUCGCGUUGGCUGGGAAUCAACCUUGCUUUUGUUGGGUGUACUUUCCAGUUGAUGGGUCAGCAUCAGUUUUGACCAGUGGAAAAAGGCGUAGGAAAUGUGGCUUCUUCGGAAGUGUUAUAGUCCUGCGUUGUAUACAUUGGUUGGGACUGAGGAACUCAGCACGCCGAAAGGCCGGGGCUCGCCCACGUACGUGCUUAGGAUGCUGGCAAAAUGGCUUUAAUCGACCCGUCUUGAAACACGGACCAAGGAGUCUAACAUGCCUGCGAGUGUUUGGGUGGUAAACCCGAGCGCGUAAUGAAAGUGAAAGUUGAGAUCCCUGUCGUGGGGAGCAUCGACGCCCUGACCAGACCUUCUGUGACGGAUCAGCGGUAGAGCAUGUAUGUUGGGACCCGAAAGAUGGUGAACUAUGCCUGAAUAGGGUGAAGCCAGAGGAAACUCUGGUGGAGGCUCGUAGCGAUUCUGACGUGCAAAUCGAUCGUCAAAUUUGGGUAUAGGGGCGAAAGACUAAUCGACCAUCUAGUAGCUGGUCC
rnacentral:rRNA from 1 species